GAAAUGGGAGCUGAAAAAUGAAAUGAGAUGACUUAAUCUUUGUCAACUGCCUGACAGUAAGUCUACAUGGAAAUGGAAUAAGAAAACUGACAAGCUUUCUCACAGCAUGAACAGCAGCAUCAACUGAUAUAGAUAUCAGAAGAAAAUUCUCAUUCCAAAACUCUUUCUCUUUACUAAAGAGUGUGAAAAAGAACACUCAGAUAUGAUUGUUCAGAAGGAUAAGACUUCUGCUCAUGAUCACUAUAUUCAAUGCAAGAUCUAUAAUAUAUACAAUAUUCAACAAAUGCUCUGGCCAGACAAUUCUCCAGAUCUUAAUUCAAUAGAAUCUUACUGACUCUGAAUGAAGUAUAAAAUCACUGCAAAGAGAGCUUCAAAGAGUUGAGCAGAAGCAAUUAAAGCAUGGGAGCAGUGUUGAAAGAAUCUUUCAUAGAAGACUAUACAGACAUGAAUAGAGUGGAUUUCUACUUAUAUUCAAAAGAUUAUAGAGCUAGAAGAUGGAAAUGAAUAUAAAGAAGGCUGC
rnacentral:sRNA from 1 species